UGGGGAAUCUUGGACAAUGGGCGCAAGCCUGAUCCAGCCAUGCCGCGUGAGUGAAGAAGGCCUUCGGGUUGUAAAGCUCUUUUACCAGGGACGAUAAUGACGGUACCUGGAGAAUAAGCCCCGGCAAACUUCGUGCCAGCAGCCGCGGUAAUACGAAGGGGGCUAGCGUUGUUCGGAAUUACUGGGCGUAAAGCGCACGUAGGCGGAUUGUUAAGUCAGAGGUGAAAUCCCGGAGCUCAACUUCGGAACUGCCUUUGAUACUGGCAAUCUAGAGUCCGGAAGAGGUUAGUGGAAUUCCCAGUGUAGAGGUGAAAUUCGUAGAUAUUGGGAAGAACACCAGUGGCGAAGGCGGCUAACUGGUCCGGUACUGACGCUGAGGUGCGAAAGCGUGGGGAGCAAACAGGAUUAGAUACCCCGGUAGUCCCUGAGCGGGCUGGCAAGGCGCAU
rnacentral:rRNA from 1 species